rfam:Oryza sativa Japonica Group DNA, chromosome 4, cultivar: Nipponbare, complete sequence.
AAUAAGUACAGCCAUAAGUUUUCGCGUCCAACUUUCAUCGUUCGUCUUAUUUGAAAUUUUUUAUGAGUAGUAUUUUUAUUGUUAUGAGAUGAUAAAAGAUGAAUAGUACUUUACUCGUGACAUAUUUUUUUUAGUUUUUUUAAAAAAAUUUAAAUAAGACGAACGAUUAAAGUUAGAUACGGAAACUCAUAGCUGCACUUAUU